rnacentral:rRNA from 1 species
UACGGGGGGGUGCGAGCGUUGUCCGGAAUCACUGGGCGUAAAGGGCGCGUAGGUGGUUUGUCGCGUCUGCCGUGAAAGUCCGGGGCUUAACCCCCGGAUCUGCGGUGGGUACGGGCAGACUAGAGUGAUGUAGGGGGAGACUGGAAUUCCUGGUGUAGCGGUGAAAAUGCGCAGAUAUCAGGAGGAACACCGAUGGCGAAGGCAGGUCUCUGGGCAUUAACUGACGCUGAGGAGCGAAAAGCAUGGGGGAG